CCUACGGGGGGCAGCAGUGAGGAAUCGUACACAAUGGACGAAAGUCUGAUGUCGUGACGCCGCGUGGAGGAAGAAGGCUUUCGGGUUGUAAACUCCUUUUAUGUGGGAAGAUUAUGACGGUACCACUUGAAUAAGCAUCGGCUAACUACGUGCCAGAAGCCUCGGUAAUACGUAGGAUGCGAGCGUUAUCCGGAAUUAUUGGGCGUAAAGAGCGCGUAGGCGGUUUUGCAAGUCUAACCUUAAAGACAACGGCCCAACCGUUGUAUCGGUUAGAUACUACAUGACUUGAAUACUUGCAGGGGCAAGCGGAAUCUGCGGUGUAGGGGUAAAAUCCAUUGAUAUCGCAGAGAACACCAAUGGCGAAGGCAGCUUGCUAGGCAGUUAUUGACGCUGAGGCGCGAAAGCGUGGGGAGCGAACGGGCUUAGAUACCCGGGUAGUC
rnacentral:rRNA from 1 species